CCUACGGGCGGCAGCAGUGGGGAAUAUUGCGCAAUGGGGGCAACCCUGACGCAGCAACGCCGCGUGAUUGAAGAAGGCCUUCGGGUUGUAAAGAUCUUUAAACAGGGACGAAGAAAUGACGGUACCUGAAGAAUAAGCUCCGGCUAACUACGUGCCAGCAGCCUCGGUCAUACGUAGGGAGCAAGCGUUAUCCGGAUUUACUGGGUGUAAAGGGCGUGUAGGGGGGCCUGUUAGUCAAAAGGGAAAUCUGGGGGCUUAACCCCCAAACUGCUUUUGAAACUGCGGGUCUUGAGUGAUGGAGAGGCAGGCGGAAUUCCCAGUGUAGCGGUGAAAUGCGUAGAUAUUGGGAGGAACACCAGUGGCGAAGGCGGCCUGCUGGACAUUAACUGACGCUGAGGCGCGAAAGCGUGGGGAGCAAACAGGAUUAGAUACCCCAGUAGUC
rnacentral:rRNA from 1 species